CAGAAGCCUUUGUGAGGUGAAGGAGGACCCAGAGCUCAUUGCUGCUGCCAUCCUCCUGCCUAAAUUCAAGAGCAACUGGACUGACAGAGCCGAUGUCAUUGAAGCAGGCCUGACCUAUGUGAGGCAGCACCUUGACAGGAUGGCAGAGGUGGAAGAGGUCGUUGGGGAAACUUCAUCUGAUGAUGAGGAGGACUUCUUCACAUCCAUGAAGGUCAGAAGAUCACAAGGCACGGGGGAGCUGGAUGGGUAUCUUGCCUGUGCAUCAAGUAAGAUGGAUCUCCUCCAGUCAUUUCCACACAUCAAGAAACUCGCCCUCAAACUCACAGGUCUGCCUGCGUCAGCUGCCUGUGAAAGGCUUUUCAGCUGUGCCGGCCUGCUUUUCACCCCGAAGCGCGCUAGGAUGAACGCAGUGAACUUUGAGAACCAACUCCUGCUCAAACUGAACAGGAAGUUUAGAGAUUAAUUCAUAGUCCAUCUAGCGUCUCUCUCUCUCACACACACACACACACACACACACACACACACACACACACACACACACACACACACACACACACACACACACACACACACACACACACACACACACACACACACACACACACACACACACACACACACAGAGCUCCCUCUCUCUCUCUCUCUCACACACACACACACACAUAGAGCUCCCUCUCUCUCGCUCUCUCUUUCUCACACACACACACACACACACACACACACACACACACACACACACACACACACACACACACACACACACACACACACACACACACACACACACACACACACACACACACACACACACACACACACACACACACA